ensembl:lncRNA
UGUGUUUCCUGGCUGUUAGUGACCUGCUCUCCUUCCCUCCCUCAACAUUGAGCUCUGUUGUAAAUACAUCGCACCAGAGGCCACUGUGAUGCCGCUGUCUCCUCACCAUCCCGCCCGACCAUGUGACACCGGCUCCCUGUAGACGGGCAUCCCCAGAUAUACAAACCCUUUCGUGUAUUCCUGCCCAAAGCAUUAUUUUCCAGGGCCUUCGAUCAACAUUGAUCUCCCCAGUCUAAGGCUCCCCAGCUCCUCUCCCUUCCCCGUUCAGGGAUAGCUCUUGCCUGUCCUCCCUGCCUUGCCUUGGGUGAAGCCUCCAUCAGAACUGCCACCCUUGGCCCCUGUUCCUGGCAUUAGGUAAUGGACCUGGGUCCCCAUGUUUCCCCAGGUACAGGAACCUCCAUUGCUUGAGAUUGUUCUUACCAUGGUCCUGCCUUGCCUCAGGGGCUGGACCAUGUGCAAGAUGGUCUCUAUUUUUCCCUUUUAGAUAAAACACCAGUCAAAUACCUUUUUAUCCCCAUCUUAUUCUUCUAGGCUUGGAAGACACAGAGAGGUCAGGAUCUCAUCCUUAGGUAGAGGGAGGGGUGGUAGAUAGCAUCACAAGAAACUAGCCUGAAAAUCAGGCUCAGCCAGUCCAAGCACAUGGCCUCCCAUCUGGGGAGGGCCCACGUCCCACUCCCACAUCUCUGGGCACCUGCCCUGGGCUGAGGCCAGGCUGCUCCAGGGGCCUCUUGAGCUCUCACCUGCCAUAAAGCAACCCAGGUUCACUACAGCCCAUGCACAAAGCCACAGGCUAAGGCCCGUGGAGUUGUUUUUAAGAAGCAGAUUUAACCAUUUUCAUAGUUGGUCCCUGGAGGUAUGCAGAGUGCCCGCUUGCCUUUUCUAGACCCACAGCUUAUCUUAGUUGUUUGUGGUUUCCAUGUCACCCUUCAUAGAAACAGUACAGUCCAGCAUCCUCAACAUUUGCCCUCUUCCAGCUGCCUCAUCACAGCACUUCAGCCUCCCUGCUGCCCAGGCACGCCAUUUCCAAGGGUAGGGAGGGGCAGUCUCCUGCAGCCCAUCUUCUCUGUGACUGUCUUAGGUGAUGCAUAGCCCCCUCCACCUUUUGACCCCACAACUUCUAUCCCUGUCCUGCUUCAGGGUCCGAAGUCUGGGACCUUCUUUGUUUCUUUGUUAUUUAUGACCUUGUUUAAAGAAAAUAAAUAUCUCCCAACCUUUAUCUGGUCUUUCUCUAUGGAGUUGUCCUUAUUUCUGUUGAUCUAGGGGUUGGGGACAGUUCAUUGGAUUUAGACACCAUAGAGCUCCAGAAAAGCCUGUUUGUUGCCUGCAGCCCAUCAACGUCUUAUGCUCUGCCUGCUCCCCAGAAUCAGAAUGCCCAUUAGAAUGGACAGAGCCAGCCUCCACUGCAGCUAGGGAGACUAGAUUCCAAUCCUCUCUCUUCUAGUUAUGUACUGUGUUGACUUUGGCCUAGAACAGGACAGUCUGGGCACUGUCCACAUGACCUCAAGCUCUCAGAGUUUUGCAUUUGCUAAUGCCCAAAGUUUGUUUACAAGUUCAAGCACCUCCUCAACUCUAGACACUUAGGUCUGUCUACUUGUCCAGAUGACCAAAAGCCACUCACAUUGACCAUUCCUAAGUUGAACUUACCUUCCCCCUAAAACUUGUUCUCCCAUAUUCCUAGCUCAGUAGUGAUAGGUUCCCCCAUCUCUCCACUGGUCUAAACAAGGCAGCCAAAGUGUCCUUGAUGGCUUCCUCUCUCACAUUUACAACUGCCGUCCACUCUGUGUUCUAUGUCUGCUCCUCUCCUUGCCGCAGCCCCUCCCCUGGCUACUCUCUACACAUUGCUGGAGUCUUCUUAGCAGGUGUUGGAGCUAGGCUGCCUAAAUUAGAACCUAAGGCCCAUCCCUUGCUGGAUGUAUCAGAUAGCUAAGUACUUUCCUCUCUUUGUGCUUUGGUUUCCUCAUCUGAAAAAUAGAGGUCAACAGUAUUUACCCCAUAUGGGUUAACUCUCUCAGUAACUGACAUAGGGUAAGCACCUAAUAAAUAGUUCCUAUCAUGUCACUCCCAAGACCUUCUUUACUCGGAGUGGCCUGUGGUCAGCAGCAUUAAGUAUCAUCUGGAAGCUUGUUCAAGAUUGUGUCCUUAUUGAGUCAGUACGGAUCUACACUCCAAGAAGCACAUUAUUCUGAGAAAUUCUGGUUUGGAUGUUCACUAAAUAUAUCUGAGUAAAGCAUGAGCUCCCUGGCAGAGAAGAAAAGUCCCUGUGUUCUGUGCGCUUCCACCAAGCCCUUCUUGGGGAGGGAGGGGCCUACCAAGGUCUCUUUGCUGGGCUGUUUGCACUCUGUCCACAGGGGGUCAGCAUGGUCAAAUGUGUGUUUUUCAGGGACACAGCCAAUUUUGUUCACCAGAUUAAGUCAUAAUAGUCAUCAAAGUUGAGCAGCUAUUUGACUUUACACACAACUAUUUAAUCCUCAUGACAACCCUAUGAGGUAGGUGAUGUCAUUUGACAGGCAGGCAUUAGGUCCAAAUUCAUAUAGCUCAGAAGAAGUGUCAGAAUUUAAACUUAGGGUUUUUUCCUCUUUACACUGCCUCCUGGACAAUAUAGGGGACCCUGGGCAGAGGUCAUUUUGGUACAGAUACCUGGCAAGAGGAUGAUGACCAGGCUUGAUGGAUGGAAAGUAAGAAACAUUCACUUAACUUUAUAUUAGAUACUCUGCUGCUGCUACUGCUAAGUCACUUCAGUCGUGUCUGACUCUGUUCAACCCCANNNNNNNNNNNNNNNNNNNNNNNNNNNNNNNNNNNNNNNNNNNNNNNNNNNNNNNNNNNNNNNNNNNNNNNNNNNNNNNNNNNNNNNNNNNNNNNNNNNCAGUGUAAUGAGGAUGCCCUUGAAAUAGCUCCAUGCUUCUCUGAUAUGCUUCUUCAUUUUUGCUUUACUCUGUUUAUCAGGAGGCAGUGUGAACUGGGUUGAAAGCAUAACUAGAUGCUUUCAUUUACCAGGGAUUUAACCUUGGGCAAGGGGCUUAACUUCUCUGGAUACAUUUCAUUAUCUUUAACAUAAAAGUUUAGGAUUAAAUGGUUUCUAAGUUUCUUCUUUUUUUUUUUUUUAAAUGUGGGUUUUGUUUUUUUUUUUAAUUUUUUAUUUAGUUUUUUUUAAAGUACAGUUGAUUGACAAUAUGUUAGUUUCAGGUGUACAGCAAAGUGAUUGAGUUAUAUAUAUAUACAUCCUUUUUCAUAUUCUUUUUCCUUAUGGUUUAUCACAGGAUACUAAAUAUAGUUCCCUGUACUAUAUGGUGGGACUUUGUUGAUUAUCUGUUGUGUAUAUAGUAGUUUGUAUGUGCUAAUCCCAAACUCCUAAUUUAUCCCUCUCCUACCCUUUUCCCCUUCAGUAACUGUAAGUUUAUGUUCUGUAUCUGUGAGUCUAUUUCUGUAUUUUAAAUAAGUUCAUUUGUGUCAUUUUUUUUAGAUUGUACAUAUUUCUAAAUUCCUUUCAGGUAUAUAAAUCUGUUUCCAAAAAAUAAUCCCUCAGUUUCCCAAAUGGCAUAAUUCACUGUUUUCUAUAUUAAUGAAGAAAUAAUACUCAGAAUUAUUUCAGUUUUUUGUUUUGAGAAAAGCAGACUGAACUUAGGACAGCAAACAUGGUGUCUGGGUUUAAUUAGGACAGCCAGAAAAUGCUCCCUUCUAUAAAAGGGCCCAAAAGAAUCACUGCACAUUUGGCUCUUUGUCCUACUGAAUGAGGGGCUUCCCUGGUGGCUCAGAUGGUAAAGGAUCUGCCUGCAGUGCAGGA